AGAGUUUGAUCCUGGCUCAGGAUGAACGCUAGCGACAGGCUUAACACAUGCAAGUCGAGGGGCAGCACAGGUAGCAAUACCGGGUGGCGACCGGCGCACGGGUGAGUAACGCGUAUGCAACUUACCUAUCAGAGGGGGAUAACCCGGCGAAAGUCGGACUAAUACCGCAUGAAGCAGGGGCCCCGCAUGGGGAUAUUUGCUAAAGAUUCAUCGCUGAUAGAUAGGCAUGCGUUCCAUUAGGCAGUUGGCGGGGUAACGGCCCACCAAACCGACGAUGGAUAGGGGUUCUGAGAGGAAGGUCCCCCACAUUGGUACUGAGACACGGACCAAACUCCUACGGGAGGCAGCAGUGAGGAAUAUUGGUCAAUGGCCGAGAGGCUGAACCAGCCAAGUCGCGUGAGGGAUGAAGGUUCUAUGGAUCGUAAACCUCUUUUAUAAGGGAAUAAAGUGCGGGACGUGUCCCGUUUUGUAUGUACCUUAUGAAUAAGGAUCGGCUAACUCCGUGCCAGCAGCCGCGGUAAUACGGAGGAUCCGAGCGUUAUCCGGAUUUAUUGGGUUUAAAGGGAGCGUAGGCGGGUUGUUAAGUCAGUUGUGAAAGUUUGCGGCUCAACCGUAAAAUUGCAGUUGAUACUGGCGACCUUGAGUGCAACAGAGGUAGGCGGAAUUCGUGGUGUAGCGGUGAAAUGCUUAGAUAUCACGAAGAACUCCGAUUGCGAAGGCAGCUUACUGGAUUGUAACUGACGCUGAUGCUCGAAAGUGUGGGUAUCAAACAGGAUUAGAUACCCUGGUAGUCCACACAGUAAACGAUGAAUACUCGCUGUUGGCGAUAUACAGUCAGCGGCCAAGCGAAAGCAUUAAGUAUUCCACCUGGGGAGUACGCCGGCAACGGUGAAACUCAAAGGAAUUGACGGGGGCCCGCACAAGCGGAGGAACAUGUGGUUUAAUUCGAUGAUACGCGAGGAACCUUACCCGGGCUUAAAUUGCAACUGACGGAACCGGAAACGGUUCUUUCUUCGGACAGUUGUGAAGGUGCUGCAUGGUUGUCGUCAGCUCGUGCCGUGAGGUGUCGGCUUAAGUGCCAUAACGAGCGCAACCCUUGCCACUAGUUACUAACAGGUAAAGCUGAGGACUCUGGUGGGACUGCCAGCGUAAGCUGCGAGGAAGGCGGGGAUGACGUCAAAUCAGCACGGCCCUUACAUCCGGGGCGACACACGUGUUACAAUGGCGUGGACAAAGGGAGGCCACCUGGCGACAGGGAGCGAAUCCCCAAACCACGUCUCAGUUCGGAUCGGAGUCUGCAACCCGACUCCGUGAAGCUGGAUUCGCUAGUAAUCGCGCAUCAGCCAUGGCGCGGUGAAUACGUUCCCGGGCCUUGUACACACCGCCCGUCAAGCCAUGGGAG
rnacentral:rRNA from 1 species